ensembl:lncRNA
CUGGCAGGGCGCCUAAGCGGCUCAAACGCUCAAAAGUUUGGUUAUACUUUACGAGAACAGAUGACAACGGGGCAACUUGCAAUACUUGCAAAGUAGAUAUUUCAUUUAAAGGAGGAAACACUACGAAUAUGCAAAAGCAUUUGCUCACAAAACACGCGAUGAACUUAAAUGAAUGUCGUGUUUUUAAUUCCACUCCGGACUCAUGAAUCUCAACCCAGCAGCAGCGGUAACGUUUGCACGUCAUCUCCCGUUAAUGCGGCAGGUGACCAUGAUGAGAGAGACAGACAGAGUCUGGCUGGCAGUUCUUGCUGCAGUCUACCGGUAGCGUCUCCUUUCAGGCCAGGAUAGACAAAUGUCACCGAGCAGUGACUUAAGUUUGUGGUCAAAGGCUUGCACCCAUUUGCCACAGCAGAUGCCCCCGAUUUUCGGUAAGUGAAUGUGUUUAACUGUAGGCAGGGACAUUACUGGAUAUUCUUGUGUAAUUGCUACAGAAUAAUUUAUGUUAUACUUUGUUAAUGCUACAGAAGAAUAUUUAUUUUAUUAUUUUACAUUUACAAUUUUUUUUCCUGGGUACCCUGUGACACCCCAUUGAAGAGCCGUAGGCUGUGGAUCUCUUAAGAACUCACUGUUGGGUUUGUAAGGCCAUGUUACUCCUAAAUUUCUAUCUUGUUCAAAGAGAAGAUAUAAAACAAAGUUCUAAGCUAAUCGACCUGUGUGUUCUCCUUUUUUAAAAAGAAUCGAUAAGAGAAUCGAUAAAGAAUCGAAUCGUUAAACAGAAUCGAAAAUGGAAUCGGAAUCGUGAAAAUCUUAUCAAUACCCAUCCCUACUCCCAGUACUCCCAGUUAGCUGUCAACUUUAAUUACAAGUAUUAAUUUUACCCUUUGAUGGUAUGAACAUUUCGAUUUAUGAUUUAAAGUACUGAAAAUUUCUCUAACUGGUGUCUCUCAGACUGGGAUGGAGCUGUGGUUUCUUGCUUUUCCUCUGAUGGUUUUUGUUCAGCCUGCAGGGAUGAUUUCACACUGUGAGUACUUUUGUAACAAGAGCAGUAGUAGAUGGCUGAAUGAACGUCUUUAACUGUUUUUAGCUCCAAAGCCCAGCUGCCCUGAUUAUUCACUGCUGAGAAAUCGUUCUGCUGAGGGUGGUUAUAGCCUCGAUUUAUUGCACCGCUGCUUAUGUCAAUAGAAAGAAGCAUUCUGAAUAAUUCUCUUGUGUCUUUCUUCUGGUACCAGUAUACAACAGUACUGCUGCACUGGUCAGUUCCCCCACAGCUGAAGGAGACACUUUCUCCAGCUCUCCUGGUCAGAGUUAAAUCACUCUGUAUCAGCUCUUCAGCCACAGUAAUCACUGGGGUAGAGACACAGACAGUACACAGCUGCAGUGCUGCACUGGUCAGUUCCCCCACAGCUGAAGGAGACACUUUCUCCAGCUCUCCUGGUCAGAGUCAAAUCAUUUUGUAUCAGCUCUGUGGCCAUGGUAAACAGCGCUGCAGAGACACACACAGUGGUUGGAGUGGUUUCCACACCUAAUCGAAUCAGUUUGGAUCACUUUGCUUCACCUGAACACCCUGACAGUAUUUACACACUGCUGUCUGACUGCAUUCAGCUGACACUGAGAUGAAGCAGAAAAGAAGCAGCUGGUGAAGGUAGAAAGUGUGUGUGAGCUGAUGUGGAUGUGAAUUCAGCAGCAUGGAUCAGUGUGAGGACAGAGAGGAGGGAGUCCCUCCCUCUAAAACCACUCUGUGUGGGGAACAUGAGAGCCAGACCAAAGCUCAGAGUUCAGAGCAGCGGUACGCACUGUAUUCUGCCAGACCUGGGCCCAGCUGCAGAUCCCUAACGACUGACUUGUACUUGGAGUUACACGUGUUUUUUACUCGAAAGCGUCUCCCUUCCAGUUGGUCCUCCUCACUGUUUUGUGGAGUGAAUCAAGCACAAGACUGUACUAAACUUGAACCUGAAUCUAAACAUGAACUGAUGCCUGAAACAACAAGCAUACCUGAACAAGAAGCCUCUGCGACUUCAAAUCUUCAGAUCCUCGGUUGUAAACAUGUCAUGGAUCAGGAUCAGGCUGGGCCCCGGCAGAUGAUCUGUCCAGUGUUGAACAGCAGUGCUGUAAAAAAGACAGACGGGCUUUUAAAGGAAUGGUUGUGGGAAACUCUGGAGACUUUGGGAACUGAGGAGCUGAAAAACUUCAAGUGGUGUCUGCAAAAUGUUACUGAGUCAAAGGAUGGCUUCAAGCCAAUCAAAAAGAGUCGACUGGAGAACGCAGACAGACUGGACACAGUGGACCUGAUGGUGCAGAUGUACGAUACAAAGACUGCAGAGGUGACGAAGAAGAUUUUAAGGAAGAUCAAAAGGAAUGAAGGACAACCCUUUCCCCAAAUUCUGCUGCAGGAUCAACCAGCUAAUGCCACAGGUAUGUGUUCAUUAUGGUACUAAGUCAUACUACACUAAGACUGAUAAUAUAAGUGUAAUAUUUAAGGGGGGAGACCAAAUAGCUGCCAGUCUGAUUUAAUCUAAACCUUUCUCAUCUUUCCACAAUUCACUAACUUUCAUCUGUGUGAAAAGGUGAGAAAGUCUGCCCAAAAAGGAAAUCUACUUCUUCUCUCUAUAACUCAGUUUGAUAUUUAACUGCAAGAAGCAUUCAACUCCAGUCAAACAGAUCUUUAGUUAAUCUGCUAUAUGAGGUGGACAAUUUCUCAGUUUCCUAGACUUCCAAAAGUAACGUAUUUUUAGGACUACACAUAUAUAUAUAUAUAUAAACACCCAGCGCGCCCCUGCGGGCGGUUUAUCCUUCAAGCUCGGGUCCUCUACCAGAGGCCUGGGAGCUUGAGGGUCCUGCGCAGUAUCUUAGCUGUUCCCAGGACUGCGCUCUUCUGGACAGAGAUCUCCGAUGUUGUUCCCGGGAUCUGCUGGAGCCACUCGCCUAGCUUGGGAGUCACCGCACCUAGUGCUCCGAUUACCACGGGGACCACCGUCACCUUCACCCUCCACAUCCUCUCGAGCUCUUCUCUGAGCCCUUGGUAUUUCUCC